ensembl:lncRNA
CCCAUGUCCCCAUGUCCCCAUGUCCCCAUGUCCCCAUGUCCCCAUGUCCCCAUGUCCCCAGUCCCAUCUCAGUUUGGGGACACCUGUCCCCAAGUUCCCAUGUCCCCAUGUCCCCAGUUCCAUCCCUGUUUAGGGUCCCAUGUCCCAGUGUCCCCAUGUCCCCAUGUCCCCAUUCCCAUCCCAGUUUGGGUUUCCAGUGUCCCUGCGUCCCCAUGUCCGCAGCCCCAUCCCAGUUUGGGGACCCAUGCCCCAGUGUCCCCCUGUCCCCACGUCCCCAUGUCCCCGGUCCCAUCCCAGUUUGGGGACUCACAUCCCCAUGUCCCCAUCCCAAUUUUAGGACCAUUUCCCCACAUCACCACGGUCCCCGUGUCCCCAUCCCAUCCCAGUAUGGAGAACCAUGUCCCCGUGUCCCCAUGUCCCUAUUCCGAACCAAUUUGGGGUCCCCACGUCCCCAAAUCCCCAUGUCCCCGUGUCCCCACAUCCCCACCCCAUCCCAGUUCAGGGACCCACCUCCCCAUAUCCCAAACCAGUUUGGAGACCGGUCACCUACCGAUCCCGUGGGGACGGAGCAGGGCGAGCAGGACGAGCAGGACGCCGACGGUCCUGGGGGCACCCAUGGGUGCUGCCGGGCGCACUGGGAGCACUGGGAGCACUGGGAGUGCCGGUUUUAUGGCCGGGUGGGACGUGCCACCGCCGCCCGCGCUUUCGACCCAACCCGGGUGCAGCCGCCCACGGUCGGGUGGGGACCAGUUCCCACUGGGAAUGGGUUGGUCCCAUUGGGGACAUACUGGUCCCACUGUGGUCCUAUUGGGGUCAUACUGGUCCCAUUGGGGUCAUCUUUGCCCCGCCAUGGUCCUAUUAGGGUUAUACUGGUCCCAUUGGGGUCAUCUUUGCCCCGCUGUGGUCCUACUGGGGUUAUACUGGUCCCACUGGGGACAUACUGGUCCCACUGUGGUCCUACUGGGGUCAUAUUCAUCCCAUUGGGGACGCACUGGUGCCACUGUGGUCCUAUUGGGGUCAUACUGGUCCCAUUGGGGUCAUCUUUGCCCCGCUGUGGUCCUACUGGGGUCAUANGGUCCUACUGGGGUCAUAUUCAUCCCAUUGGGGACGCACUGGUGCCACUGUGGUCCUAUUGGGGUCAUACUGGUCCCAUUGGGGUCAUCUUUGCCCCGCUGUGGUCCUACUGGGGUCAUACUGGUCCCAUUGGGGACAUACUGGUCCACUGUGGUCCUAUUGGGGUUAUACUGGUCCCAUUGGGGUCAUACUGCUCCCAUUGGGAACAUACUGGUCCCACCGUGGUCCUAUUGGGGUUAUACUGGUCCCAUUGGGGACAUACUGGUCCCACUGUGGUCCCAUUGGGGUCAUACUGGUCCCACCGUGGUCCUAUUGGGGUUAUACUGGUCCCACUGGGGACGCACUGGUCCCACUGUGGUCCUAUUGGGGUCAUACUGGUCCCGUUGGGGUCAUCUUUGCCCCACCAUGGUCCUAUUAGGGUUACACUGGUCCCAUUGGGGUCAUCUUUGCCCCGCUGUGGUCCUACUGGGGUCAUACUGGUCCCAUUGGGGUUAUCUUUGCCCCACUGUGGUCCUAUUGGGGUUAUACUGGUCCCACUGGGGACAUACUGGUCCCACUGUGGUCCUAUUGGGGUCAUAUUGGUCCUAUUGGGGUCAUACUGAUCCCACCAUGGUCCUAUUGGGGUCAUACUGGUCCCAUUGGGGAUAUACUGGUCCCACUGUGGUCCUAUUGGGGACAUACUGGUCCCAUUGGGGACAUACUGGUCCCAUUGGGGAUGUCCUGGUCCCACUGGGAACAAAUUGGGAACAUACUGGUCUCACCGGGGACGUACUGGUCCCAUUAGGGAUGUAUUGGUCCCAUUAGGGACAUACUGGUCCCAUUGGGGUCCUACUGGGGACACCCUGGUUCUACUGGGGACAUAUUCAUCCCAUUGGGGUCAAACUGGUUCUUACCAUUCCUUAUGGUUCCAUACUGGUCUCCAUGGGUCCCCAACUGGUUCCUAUGGGUCCGUACUGAUCCCUGUGGGUCCGUACUGGUUCCUAUGGGCCCAUACUGGUCCCUACUGGUCCACACCACCCCCACGUACCCACUCCCCCCGGUGUCCCCCUCCCUGUCCCUCCGCCCUAGGCCAGUUUCGGUGCCACCUCUUCGAUGUCACCCGUCCCCACCCUGGGUGGCCCCGAUGUCCCCGUGGGCGGCCCAGGCCCUGCCCCAGCGUUCCUGACCCAUUCCCAGCGCCACUGUCCCCAUUCUGUCCCCAAGGUCCUCAUUCAGUCCCCAGUGUCCCCAUUCCCACGAGUGUCCCCAUCCAAUGUCCCCAAAGUCCCCAUUCAAGUGUCCCCAUCUCUGUGCCUGUGGUUGUCCCCAUCCGAUGUCCCCUAAGUGUCCCCAUCCCUGUCCUUGUGGAUGUCCCCAUCCUGUCCCCAGUGCCACCAUUCGAAUAUCCCCAAUGUCCCCAUCCAGAUGUCCCCAAAGAUCCCAACCAAAUGUCCCCAGUGAGCCCUAUCCACAUGUCCCCUGUGUCCCCAUCCCUGUCCCUGUGGUUGUCCCCAUCCAAAUGUCCCCAAUGGCCCCAUCCCCAGUGUCCCCAUCCCCAAUGUCCCCACCUCUGUCCUUGUGAUUGUCCCCAUCCCCAGUGUCCCCACCUCUGUCCUUGUGGUUGUCCCCAUCCCCAUUGUCCCCAUCCCAGUGUCCCCAAUGUCCCCAUCCCCAAGCGUGGGCGCAGACUGGCCCGACCAGCUCAGCCGGCGCCGUGACGCGUGGGGACACGUGGGGACGUGCUGGGACACGUGUGGCCAUGGGGACACGUUUGGUGACACGUGUGGCCAUGGGGACAGGGACGAGGACGGUGCCACGCUCCAAG